GAUAGCUUCGGUCCAAAUGAAUAUCCUAAUCCUGAAGAAGUAACGAGCAAUUUGGUAAAAUAAAUUUGUCGUAAUCUUUUACGGUUGCGAAGGAGUAGUGGUCACAAGAAAAACAGUGUUCGGGGAGAUAACUCAUACAACGUAAAGUAUUUUGUUACGAGGUUGUAAAUUUUUAAAGCGUAUAAACUAUACGAUAUCAUAUUCCAAACAUCUAAGCGACAAGUUAUUAAACAACAAUACUACGCAAGAAAAAAAAUUAGGCGGAAGAAAAAAAAAAAAUAAUAAUAAUAAUAAUAAUAAUAAUUAAAAACCAAUUGUUCAGAGAACAAUUGUAGGUCUUUCCACUAGAAAAGAUCUUUUUUGAUAUUGAAAUAUUAAAAAUCAGUUUAAAAUGUUAGUUCCUAUGGCUGUAUGAUGUAUUUAUAUGAAUUUAAAGCAAAAGGUCAAAAUCUAGAACGUCAUAUUAACCUAUGACCUUGACCUCAAUUUCAAGUUCACAAAC
rnacentral:lncRNA from 1 species